rnacentral:rRNA from 1 species
UACGGAGGGUGCAAGCAUUAAUCGGAAUUAUUGGGCGUAAAGGGCGCGUAGGCGGAUAGAUAAGUCAGAUGUGAAAUUCCGGGGCUCAACUUCGGAGCUGCAUUUGAGACUGUCAAUCUAGAGGGUAGGCGGAGAAAAUGGAAUUCCACAAGUAGCGGUGAAAUGCGUAGAUAUGUGGAAGAACACCGGUGGCGAAGGCGGUUUUCUAGCUUAUUCCUGACGCUGAGGCGCGAAAGCAAGGGGAUCAAACAGG